UACGAAGGGGGCUAGCGUUGUUCGGAAUUACUGGGCGUAAAGCGCACGUAGGCGGAUUGUUAAGUCAGGGGUGAAAUCCCAGAGCUCAACUCUGGAACUGCCUCUGAUACUGGCAAUCUCGAGUUCGGAAGAGGUGAGUGGAAUUCCUAGUGUAGAGGUGAAAUUCGUAGAUAUUAGGAAGAACACCAGUGGCGAAGGCGGCUCACUGGUCCGACACUGACGCUGAGGUGCGAAAGCGUGGGGAGCAAACAGG
rnacentral:rRNA from 1 species